rnacentral:rRNA from 1 species
UACGUAGGGGGCAAGCGUUGUCCGGAUUCAUUGGGCGUAAAGAGCUCGUAGGCGGUCUGUCGCGUCGGCUGUGAAAUCCCGAGGCUCAACCUCGGGUCUGCAGUCGAUACGGGCAAACUGGAGUGUUGCAGGGGAGACUGGAAUUCCUGGUGUAGCGGUGAAAUGCGCAGAUAUCAGGAGGAACACCGGUGGCGAAGGCGGGUCUCUGGGCAACAACUGACGCUGAGGAGCGAAAGCGUGGGGAGCGAACAGG